CUCUGCCAUGCUCUCCGUCAGGAUGUUUUCUGCCUGUAAGGACUGAAUGAGCAGCUCGUCCACCACCAGGUCUUUGCACAGCACCGCAGAGCGUCUCCGCAGAGCCCGUCGGUCCUGCUCCAGCAUGCCACACUCCAACAUGCUGCUGCUGCGCACAGGCCAGUAUCUAAACGAGGAGUUCGUCUGGUCGGACCACCGCCAGAUGUCCUUGAAGAGGCCAACCCACACCUGCCGGGCCCCGGCUACUUCCUGGAUCAUCUGAUACUCUGUAUCAUUCCUCACGCUGGCCAGGAAGAAUUGUAAUUCCUCAAGUGACCCCUUAAACUCAUCAGCAGUUGUUGGUGCCCGAAAUCGGGUAUUUGAUUUCUCCCCCCUCGUGAUGUUUGUCCACCAGAGACCAGUGCCACGUCUUCCUCGUCCCUUUCCAAAGUCCUAUCCACGCGGCGUCAUCGUAUUGGUCCCGAACAGAUUCAAGG